GUGAAAACCGAGCAAAGCUAUUUACGUGAAAUUACAAAUUUAAAAAAAAAAAAUAUAUAUAAAGAAAAUUUAACGCAAAUUUUGCGCUGAAUAAGAAAAGUUUUUGAAAUUUCUGUGCGUGCGCGCGUAUGUGUGUGUAGUGCAUGAAAUUCCAAGAGUUGUCAGAAAGUUGGUCAACAAGGAUAAUAAAACGGCGCGCUGUCAGCUUGUGUCCUGUGUGAAAAAAUCCGCCCCUAAACGGAACAUCUAAAAAGAAGCUAAGCCAACCCAAAGUUUGAAAACGGCUCGUUGGAACGGCAACAAUCAGAGUUAACUCCCAGCGUUGAUGGCUGCCACGAAAAUCAUUGAUGCACCGCGUAACGGUCACGAAAUGGCGCCCCUGAACACAAGAGCACGGGGCGAUGGCACCCACGGGGUGACCAUUGUCCUAACCGCACCGCAACGCAAUUCGGUGCAAUCGGUGGAUAUACCAGGAGAACCGGAUCGCGCCGCCUGGAGCGGCAAGAUGCAGUUCUUCCUCAGCAUUAUUGGCUAUUCGGUGGGGCUGGGCAACAUCUGGCGUUUUCCUUAUCUGUGCCAACAGAAUGGUGGCGGUGCAUUUCUGAUACCCUUCAUGAUCAUGCUGAUAUUGGAGGGCAUACCCUUGUUUCUCAUCGAGCUGGGCAUUGGCCAGCGCAUGCGUUUAGGCGCUCUGGGCGUGUGGAAUACCAUACAUCCCUGGCUGGGCGGCAUUGGCAUCUCCUCGUGCAUUGUCACGCUCUUCGUGGCGCUCUACUACAACGUGAUUAUCACGUGGGUUUUCUACUAUCUGUUCAAUAGUUUUCGGUACCCGCUGCCCUGGUCCACCUGUCCACUUAAUGGCAGCGGCUUUGAGCUGGAAGAGUGCGCCAAGUCAUCGGAGACUACAUAUUUCUGGUACCGCACCACCUUGGAUGCGGCGCCCUCGAUGGAUGAGCCCGGUGGCCUCAAGUGGUGGAUUGUAUUGUGCCUGCUGCUCUCCUGGACCAUUGUCUUUUUCAUUGUCAUGAAGGGUAUACAGAGCUCCGGCAAGGUGGUCUACUUCACAUCCCUCUUUCCCUACAUUGUGCUCACCAUAUUCUUCGUGCGGGGCAUAACGCUGCGCGGCGCCGGCGCCGGUCUGAUGCACAUGUACACGCCCAAGGUGGAAAAGCUGCUGGAGCCGACAGUUUGGCUGGAUGCGGCCACACAGGUCUUUUACUCAUUUGGCCUGGCCUUUGGCUCGCUGAUUGCCUUUGGCAGCUAUAAUACUCCCAAGAAUAACUGCGUCCGGGAUGUGCUGCUGGUGUCUGUUUGUAAUGCAGUCACCGCAAUCUAUGCGAGUGUCGUCAUCUUUGCCAUACUCGGCUUCAAGGCCACUGUCAAUGUGGAUCGCUGUGUGGCCGGCAAUACGGAUAUAUUGGUCAAGCAUGCGCUGCUGCCCUUCAAGAAUGCCAGUACCGAGGAUUACGAAACAGCCAUGCAUAAGAUCAAUGCAACAGAAUUCAGCUUAUUGCAUCUCAGUGAGUGCAGCCUUUCCAAGGAGCUAGACAAUGCCGCUGAAGGCACCGGCUUGGCAUUCAUAGUCUUUACCCAGGCCAUAGUCGAGCUGCCCGGCGCACCGUUCUGGGCGGUGUUGUUCUUUACCAUGUUACUGUCGCUCGGCUUGGGCUCACAGAUUGGCAUUCUUGAGGGGAUGCUGUGCACGUUGUUCGACAUUGACAUCAUCAAGCGGGUUAAGAAACAACAUGUCACUGGUGUGGUAUGUCUAUUCUGCUUUAUUGUCGGUUUCAUCUUCUGCACAGGUGCCGGCGAAUAUUGGCUUAAGAUGUUUGAUUCAUUUGCCGGUACAAUUGGUUUGGUUGUAGUUGCCCUAAUGGAAAUGAUUGCUGUUAUAUUUAUCUAUGGACAUGAACGCUUCACUGAGGACAUCUAUCAAAUGACGGGCUACAGACCCGGCUUGUAUUGGCAGUGGACCUGGCGCUAUAUUGGUCCAGUUAUCAUGGUGUGCAUAUUGGUCUCCUCCAUAGUCUUUAUGGUCAUACGUAAUCCUACAUAUGGCGCUUGGAAUGCCGACCUGGGCGUUGUUGAACAAAAGAAUUAUCCCAGUUGGGUUAUGGGCGUUGCUCUGGCAAUGAUCCUGGCUGGUGUGCUGCCCAUGCCUAUUGUGUUCCUCAUGCGCAGCUUCCAGUGCCUUAAAGUGGAUCUGGACAUACACCAAGGCUCCAUUAGGCGAAAUGAGACGACUGCCUCAACCAAGGAAAUGAUUGACAAUGAUGAUGAUAAUUUGAGUCCGGAUAUGCCACCGCAAGAUUUAUUAGCGGCCACACGCUUCACAAUUGGAGACUUUGAAAACUAGACAUUAAAGAACUAAACAUGUUUAAAAAAAGAAUACCUAACCUAACCAUUGAACUAACUCAAAAAGUAGCCUCCCGAAAAAUAAAAUCCGUUGCAACGCCUGUCACCCACGCUGUAAGGAUAAAUUUCACGUGCCGUCUGCCUGACUAGAAAAAACCCUAACAAAAAUCUCACCAAUACGUUACGUACCGAUUCGAACCGAUUCGCAUACGCCAAUAAGUAAAAUAUUAAUACUUUAAAAAAAACGCACAGCAAAUACUCAACUAUAGCAAAAAAACAAUCGCAAUGCCAUUUAAAUAUAAUACAGUUCGAUAAACGAUAAAGCGUUAAGCUUCAAAAACACUAGAUAACUCGUCAGCGCCUUCUUUACAAAGAACAAGAAAAACUUAAACGUAAAACAGAAAAAAAAACCAAAAACAAAAACAAAAAACGUUUACAAUUAUUUACCAGCAACUUAGUUUAGUGCAAUGUUGAUAAACGAAAUGAUAACCUAAAGUUUAGACAUGUAUCAUUCACCUAGACAGCUCAAUAUUUAGGCUAAGUGCGUCAGCUGCAGCUCAAGGGGCUGCUAAGCGAAUAAAAGACUCUUUAAUUUGGCUAAUGAGAAGGUUCAGUAAUGCAAACCAAGAAGGAUGACGAUGAGGAUGAUGAGAAUGACUUUAGUGGGCCCGCGUUGGGAGGUCAUGUGAAGACUCAGAGCGAUUUCUC